GACGAACGCUGGCGGCGUGCUUAACACAUGCAAGUCGAACGCUGAAGCCCUUUCGGGGGUGGAUGAGUGGCGAACGGGUGAGUAACACGUGGGUAAUCUGCCCUGUACUUCGGGAUAAGCCUUGGAAACGGGGUCUAAUACCGGAUAGGACCUGUCCUCGCAUGGGGGUGGGUGGAAAGUUCCGGCGGUAUGGGAUGAGCCCGCGGCCUAUCAGCUUGUUGGUGGGGUAGUGGCCUACCAAGGCGACGACGGGUAGCCGGCCUGAGAGGGUGACCGGUCACACUGGGACUGGGACACGGCCCAGACUCCUACGGGAGGCAGCAGUGGGGAAUCUUGCGCAAUGGGCGAAAGCCUGACGCAGCAACGCCGCGUGGGGGAUGACGGCCUUCGGGUUGUAAACCUCUUUCGACAUCGACGAAGGGGCCCUGUUGUGGGGUUUUGACGGUAGGUGUAGAAGAAGCACCGGCUAACUACGUGCCAGCAGCCGCCGCGG
rnacentral:rRNA from 1 species